rnacentral:rRNA from 1 species
UACGUAGGGGGCGAGCGUUGUCCGGAUUUAUUGGGCGUAAAGAGCUCGUAGGCGGCUUGGCAAGUCGGGUGUGAAACCCCCAGGCUUAACCUGGGGACGCCACUCGAAACUGCCAUGGCUAGAGUCCGGUAGGGGAUCACGGAAUUCCUGGUGUAGCGGUGAAAUGCGCAGAUAUCAGGAGGAACACCAGUGGCGAAGGCGGUGAUCUGGGCCGGAACUGACGCUGAGGAGCGAAAGCGUGGGGAGCGAACAGG